UGCCAGACUCCUACGGGAGGCAGCAGUGGGGAAUAUUGCACAAUGGGGGAAACCCUGAUGCAGCGACGCCGCGUGAGCGAAGAAGUAUUUCGGUAUGUAAAGCUCUAUCAGCAGGGAAGAAAUUGACGGUACCUGAGUAAGAAGCUCCGGCUAAAUACGUGCCAGCAGCCGCGGUAAUACGUAUGGAGCAAGCGUUAUCCGGAUUUACUGGGUGUAAAGGGGGCGCAGGCGGCAGCGCAAGCCAGGAGUGAAGGCCCGGGGCCCAACCCCGGGACUGCUCUUGGAACUGCGCGGCUGGAGUGCAGGAGGGGCAGGCGGAAUUCCUGGUGUAGCGGUGAAAUGCGUAGAUAUCAGGAGGAACACCGGUGGCGAAGGCGGCCUGCUGGACUGCGACUGACGUUGAGGCCCGAAAGCGUGGGGAGCAAACAGGAUUAGAUACCCCAGUAG
rnacentral:rRNA from 1 species